GAUGAACGCUAGCGGCAGGCUUAAUACAUGCAAGUCGAGGGACAGCACAGGUAGCAAUACUGGGUGGUAACCGGCAAACGGGUGCGGAACACGUACGCAACCUUCCUUUAAGUGGGGGAUAGCCCAGAGAAAUUUGGAUUAAUACCCCGUAAUAUAGUUGAAUGGCAUCACUUGAUUAUUAUAGCUACGGCGCUUAAUGAUGGGUGUGCGGCUGAUUAGAUAGUUGGCGGGGUAACGGCCCACCAAGUCUACGAUCAGUAGCUGAUGUGAGAGCAUGAUCAGCCACACGGGCACUGAGACACGGGCCCGACUCCUACGGGAGGCAGCAGUAAGGAAUAUUGGUCAAUGGACGCAAGUCUGAACCAGCCAUGCCGCGUGAAGGAUUAAGGUCCUCUGGUUGUAAACUUCUUUUAUUUGGGACGAAAAAGGGCCUUUCUAGGUCAACUGACGGUACCAGAUGAAUAAGCACCGGCUAACUCCGUGCCAGCCGCCGCCGUAAGAC
rnacentral:rRNA from 1 species